rnacentral:tRNA from 1 species
GUAGGGUGGUUCUGAGCCCUCUGCUUUGCAAGCAGGGGGUCAGGGGUUUGAAUCCCCUCAGCUCCA